rnacentral:tRNA from 1 species
GGAGUGAUACCCAAGAGGCCGAAGGGGACGGUUUGCUAAACCGUUAGUGGGCGUUGCCCGGCGAGGGUUAAGUCCCUCUCACUCCACCA